rnacentral:lncRNA from 1 species
GAGCCACCACCCGCGCGACGGCGUACCUGUACAAAGCCUCACCGGUGGUUCCGGUGAGGACCCUCCGACGCUCAAGUUAGAGUGGAUCUUAAUUGGUCCAAGGGUCCCCCUUUAUAUUACCUGAUGGGGCUAUUUAUAGUUCCGGUAGGGGUGUCCAGGUGACGGAGGUAUGGCCCGUCCUCAUUAUGGGAGGAGAUGGGUUUUAGACAGGUGGCGCGCAGCUAAUGCUUGCUUGAAGCGCACGGCGUAGGCCGUUCUUGUGAACGGUAAGGCGUUGAUAGGCUUAACGGAGUAUGGCUGGAGUAGCAUGGCGUUGUCCAUGGCUAUCGUCGGCCAGCAAGCAAAGCAUGGCGCGGUGAUAUUGUAACGUACAACCACGCAGGUGGGCAUGGGCACGCACGUGGAUGCGGUCGUGAGCGAGGCCGAGCUCGAUGAGAGGUCGCAUCAUGUAUUUGACAAGGUCGGCUUGGCGGGUAUUGAGGUCGGCCUAGCUUUUCCGAUUUUGAAGUUUGCUCGGUAGGGCGCCCCGAGUUCGGCCAGGGCGCGUCGUCGAAUAGAUAAGGGGCACCCCGAGCUCGGUCGGGGCGCGUCGACGAAUAGAUAGGCGCGCCUCGAGCUCAGUCGGGGCGUAUCGGCGAAUAGAUAAAGGGGCACCCCGAGCUUAGUCGGAGCGCGUCGGCGAAUAGAUAAGGAGCGCCCCGAACUCGGUCGGGGUGCGUCGGCGAAUAUAAGGGCGCCCCGAGCUCGGUCGGGACGCGUCGGCGAAUAUAAGGGUGCCCCGAACUCGGUCGGGCCGCGUCGGCGAAUAGUCUCGCGGUCGAAGGAGCUCUUUGGCUUGCAGCUGACACAGCAGGGCAUUCCGAGCUCGGGCCUGGGACGCCAUUAUAAACAUCAGAGGAGGUCACUGCAAGUCGUAGUGGCCGAGAGAUCCGGCCGAGGUUAACUGAGCCUUCGGCGGAGUCCGAGAUUGGGCUGGUUCUGGGCAAGGCCAAGAUCCUGCCUGUUUGGUGUUGCGGCCUGCCCAGCCGGGGUGGGACGAUCCCUUGCCCUAAGCAGGACGAUCCAUUUUGCCCCCCAUCAUUUGCCCUCUGACUUCCGAGGUCGAGUCGCUCUUUGGCUCGGGCUAAGAAAGUAGCUGGAUUGUUGGUCGUUCUGCGUUGUGAUUAAGUGCCUAUGAAGAUGUACGCACCGAGCAGGGAACACUUGGUGUGUUGUCAGGGCUGAUGGCUUCGAGCCAGGCUUCCUGAGCGGGAUUUGUGUGGCUUAGGUUGCUACGUUACUCUAAGCAGAAACGGCCGUGGGAGCUCUUUAAUGUGCCACGUGCACACUUUUUUUCAAGGCAUUGCUGGAUGGAACGCAAGGGGGCCAAUCAUUAAUGCCUCGUCCCUCGAAAUGCCUCGCCUGAUGGAACACGAGGGGCCGGUUAUUAAUAUCUCGUUCUCCGAAACGCCCCCCAUAAUAAUCAGCUUUUAGUGCCACGAUCCAGGAAGAUUUGUUGAGGUCGCUUCUGGGCCUGCCACUCGGUGGGAUUUGGCUCGCUUCAUCGCUUAGGUUAGCCGAUUAGAGCCAUUGUAGUGGGCUAUAUAAGGCCUGGAAGGGACCCUAGGGUCCUUAUUUGAUCCCUCUUGUCCCUACUUCUUUUCUCUCUGACUGCCGUUGCUGUGGUGUUCGAGCUUCUCAUUGGGUGUUUUUGGAGCUCCCGGCGACCUUUGCGACGAGCCUUGCUCUCGAUUUCCGGCGAUCAUCCUUCUUCUCCCGAUCAUCUUCUUCGGUGAACUCUUAGGUAGCUGUUUUAUCCCUUUUCGAUCGCUCGGAAUACUUCUUGUCUUUUUUUUUUUUGAUUUUGUGACCAAAGCAAUGAGGUCGCCUACAAGGGCCCUGAUGCUCGACGCAGGUUCAUCCCGAGCCCAGGCUUCUUCAGAUGUGGAGGCUGAAAUCGAGGUGAAUCAAGGUCCGUAUGGGACUAGCUCAAGCAUCAGUGUAGAGGAGCUGGGCUUGAUUCAGGCUCGGUUUUUUUUUCUCUUGAGUUCAUCCUCGAGCUUCCGGAGCUCGGGGCUCGAGCCGCUGACCCCCCUAGAGGUCGGAUCGGGGUGUAUAUAGAAACACUCCAAGCAGGGUUGAGGUUUCCUCUGCACGGAUUUGUGAACGAGCUCUUGACGACUUACCGUCUCGUCCCUGCGCAGCUCGCUCCGAACUCGUGGAGAAUGAUAAUCGGCUUCCUCGCUCUUUGCCUUGCACAUGGUCUACCCUCCUUGAUGAGCGUCUUUCGGAGUUGCUUUAUAUUAAAAGGCAACCCCGCAUACAAAGGAUGGUGGUACUUCUCCUUUCGGGGAGGCCGCAAGCUCUUCCAGGGCGUUCCUUCCUCCAUUCAUAGGUGGAAGGAUAAAUUCUUCUUUGUUUCCUCCGAGUGAUCGUGGGGGUUUAACCCGACCUGAAGCUUUUCGUGGGCCACGGUGAAUAACAAGCUCCCCCAGUUGUCACAGUUCAAGCAGGGCGUUCUAGACAGGCUGCUCAGGCUGGAAGGGAUUCCAUGGCUUUCCGACCUGCUCAGCGAGGAGGCCUUGUUGAAUGUCGCCCCGAGCUCGGCUCGUCCCGAUGGUAAGGGCAGCGCAGCUACUUCUCUUUUCUUUUUCCCAUGCUGGAUUCUAACAAAGUCUUUUUGCCAGAAAUCGCAAAGAUGAUCUUCAGUGUCGAGAUAUUGAUGGCCAGGUAUAGGAAGAGGGUGGUCGCCUCGGAUGGAGCUCAGUCCGAGAGAAAGCCGAAGAAGGCCAGAGCUGCCUCUAGCUCUAGGAUUGAGCGGGGUGAGCUCGCUCAGAUUGAGGCUGCCGACCCUGCUCGGGCUGGGUCCGAGCAGGUCCCCUCGGUGGAGGUCGAGGUGCCCCCAUCAACGAUAGGGGGCACCAGUGAACAAGUGGCCGCCGUGUCUGUCGGCCAAACUCAGGAGGUUCACGAGGCCACCCAACCGCGCGAAUCGGGUCUCGAGCCGAGGAGCGGGCUUGAGGUCCCAACUUCUUCCAAGGUCCCGACUCCUGUUGGGGCUAGGACUCCUCCCGAGGUCUUGAGCUCAGCCGGUGUCCCGACUCCAGUCGAGGCUGCGACCGCAGCCAGGGUCCUGACCUCAGCUGGGGUCGAGUCUACUCCCUCCGAGCUCGGAAGGAGGCGAUUCCGGACGGAGUGUCGUUUGUUCGAAGACGACAUGGCUCUUGAGUCCGGCAACGUCGCCCACGAGCUUGUUCGUUGCGCCACGCUUUCGGGCGACUGGGCUUUUUUGGACCAGCUGGGGUUCGAUGUGUUUGCCGACGAGGCCUAUACCGUCAGCAUCUUGGUAAGUGAUAUCACUCUUUUUCUUUUCACACAUUUGAGUGUUCAAUUUCGGUUAACAUUUCGUUUCUUGCACCAUGUUCUCCAUAUGAUCGACAUGCUUGUGUCCGGCGUGUCUAGCUACCAGGGGGAGUUGAGGGCGCUUCGGCCAAGGAUGGAGCACGCCGAGCUUCUGAGACAGGAGGCCGAGACUCGAGCACUGACUGCCACUCAGCAGCAGCAAGAGGCCGAAGAACGAGCGACGGCUGCCGAGCAACAACGGCGUGAGGCCGAGCAAAGGGCUGCGGCCGCCGAGCAGCGGCAGCACGAGGUUGAGGAGAGGGCGGCGGCCGCCGAGCAGCAACAUCAAAGGGCCAGGAAGAAAGCACGGGCGGCCGAAGCUCUGAUUAAAGACGGACUCGCCCGGAUCCAGAAUAUGGAGGUCGAGCACGCCCGGGCUUGUUCAUCCGCUGAAGGUCGUAUCUUUGAGCUCGAAGCUGCACUAAACAGCCAGCGGGACGAAGCCAAGGCCAUGAGGCUGAAGGCCGACCGACUUGAAAGGCUCGUGGGGGAGUCUGCUCGGGAAGCCGUCGAGAAUUUUUGUCAAUCCAAGGAAUACCUCGACGAGCUGGCGGAGGGGGCUACCAGCGCUAUGAUCCAGGGCUUUGAGAACUGUCAUGAUCAAGCCCAACAGUUCUGCCCUGGAGUCGACCUCAGCGGCCUUGAACCGAACCUGGGCGACGCUGCCGAGGUGAAGGACGGAGGUGCUGCAGAGGCCAUUACUGAAGUUGGGCCAGAGAUUAUCCCCGAAGUCGCCACUGGGAUGGAAUUAGAAGCCGUUUCCGAGGCUGGCGUCGAAACUGAAGCUGCUCCUGAGGUCGGUGCCAAGGUCGUCCAAGUCGACUGAGCUAGCUUUUGUUUUUCUUUUUGUAAAGUCGGCCACUUGGGCCUUUUGUAUUCAACCCGACCUUAAGGUCGGUUUCUCUUGUACUCAGCCCUUGGCCCUUUUAAUAUCAAUGAAGUACAUUUUUUUUCCAAUGCUUUGCAUUUUGAAGUCCGACGAAGUAUUUGAACUCGUCUCACUUGGUACUUGGCGUUGGGCUUUUGUGUUCGGCUAAAUAGGGUCCAAGCUAUAUAGCUUAAGUGCUAGCUUAACCUUCACAUAGUAGGACCUUCGUGUGAAGUUUUUGCCAAGUCUCUGCACUCGGCAUUUACUUCCAACUCGGAGAUAACCUUGCAAAGCCGGUGAAGAGUUUAUUUAUUCCGGAGCCCGUCCACUGGUGUGCUUUAGGUGUCUAGGUCGAACAUCAGGUUUGCUUCGGACCUUUUGCGGGGACUGAGCCCGAGGUCUUCUUUUUGCACUAUAGUGUGCCAGGGGGCUUUUUAGAUAGGAGAUUGUCGCAAGCUUUAGCACCCUUCUGCCUCGUAGAUCUCUGUGGACCUCAGCUGGGGUGCUUGGUUCAGGCUCGGGUCGCCCUCGAGUUUUUCCCAAGACCCAGGUUGGGAGAGCUCUUUUGGCUUGUGGUCGAUUUUGCAAGACGAUCUUGGAGGAUAAAAGUACCUGCAGUCGAACGAGAGCUCGCAGCUCUUCAUUCGGUACUGCAGGGCACUUCGAGGUCGGCUCAAGAGGUGACAUUGGAGAGUAAGAAAAACUAGCUCGAGGGUAGAAACCAGCUCGAGGGUAGGCACCAGCCCGAUAGAAGCGAGCUCGAGGACCAGCGCGAGGGUAGAAACGGACUCGAGGGUAGGCACCAGCUCGAGUGUAGAAACGAGCCCGAGGGUAGGGACUAGCUCGAGAGUAGAAACCAGCUCGAGGGUAAGCACCAGCUUGAGGAUAGAAAUGGACUCGAGGGUAGGCACCAGCUUGAGGAUAGAAACGGACUCGAGGGUAGGCACCGGCUUGAGGAUAGAAACGGACUCGAGGGUAAGCACCGGCUCGAGGNNNNNNNNNNNNNNNNNNNNNNNNNNNNNNNNNNNNNNNNNNNNNNNNNNNNNNNNNNNNNNNNNNNNNNNNNNNNNNNNNNNNNNNNNNNNNNNNNNNNNNNNNNNNNNNNNNNNNNNNNNNNNNNNNNNNNNNNNNNNUCGAGAGUAAGCACCAGCUCGAGGAUAGAAACAGACUCGAGGGUAGGCACCGGCUCGAGGGUAGAAACCAGCUCGAGGGUAAGCACUGGUUCAAGGGUAGAAACCAGCUCGAAGGUAAGCACCAGCUCGAGUAUAAAAGCGAAUUCGAGGGUAGGCACCAGCUCGAGGAUAGAAACCAGCUCGAGGGUAAGCACCAGCUCGAGAAUAGACACGCCCCCACUCAGAUCAGGGUGCCUCUUCUUCUCUUCCUGAUUCUACAGGAUGCCCCGCUCAGAUCAGGGCGCUUGCGGUCGAUGGGCCUCUUCGGCUCUUCCUGACUCUGCAGGACACCCCCACUCAGAUCAGGGCGCCAACAUUCGAUGGGCAUCUUCGUCUCUUCCUGACUCUACAGGACACCCUCACUCAGAUCAGGGCGCCUGCGGUCUCCUGCAGUCGCGGAGCACUUUGGCUCGCAAUCAUCACUGCAGGGCGUCCCGAGCCGAGCUCGAGGGACGACUUUGUUAAUUUGGAUCCUGCAGUCGCAGAGCGCUUUGGCUCGCAGUCGACAUUGCAAGGCGUCCCGAGCCGAUUUCGAGGGACGACUUUGAUGAUUUGGAUCCUGCAGUCGCGGAGCACUUUGGCUCGCAGUCGACGCUGCAGGGCAUUCCGACCCGAGCUCGAGGGACGACUUUGUUGAUUUGGAUCCUGCAGUUGCGGAGCAUUUUGGCUCGCAGUCGACACUGCAGGGAGUCCCAAGCCGAGCUCGAGGGGCGACUUUAUAGAUUUAUCGCUAUAUAUAUAACUCAUGUCGUGGGGACAAUCGAGGCAUGUCGAGUCCAUUAAGACAUUUCAAAGACGCUUCAAAGAAGUCCUAUAGGAUAAUUUUAUUGAUAACACAUUUUGGGAUUUAAAAUCCUAAUCUGGAGGGGCUAAAGUUCCGUCCGGAGGUUGUAGCUUGAGUCUCGGGUCGUUAGACCCGGGCUGAUGGGGAUGAGGCCUCUUCACUGCCCUCGAGGUCAAGGAGCCGCUAGCAUGUGGGAUACACGGCUACAGCGUUGAUGGUGCCCGCGAUGGGACAGUUGUCGUUCUGCCCGUCGCAUGGCUCUGGGCUCUGUCCCUCGGGCUCCCUUCUGUCAGCUUGACCAUGAACAAACCGACCCAGCAGGCCUUGGCGGAUAAGUGCCUUGAUCUUAUCGCGGAGCUGGUAGCAGUCCUCCGUGUCAUGACCGUAAUCCCUAUGGAAGCGGCAGUACUUGUCUGAGCGCUUCCACGACCCUGAUGGUCGCAUCUUUGAUGGAGGUUGGAGAUAGCCAUGACCCUCGAUCUCCAUGAGAAUCCCUGCCUGGGUGGAUGUGAGAGGAGUGUACUUUCUAAACCUUUGGAGGGGAGCAUAUUUUUCGGGCUUCUGGAGGGGAGACAUCGGACGAACCGUGCUUCUAGGCUGGGAAAGAUCUCUCUUGCGCCGGAGGGAUUUGCUCCUUGACCGACUACGCUCCUUAUGGCGCUUCGCAACUUAGUCCCGGAGCGUCUGGAUUUGUUGCUCCAAUUUCUCAACAUUCUUGCCGAGUUCGGCGACGGACGAAGCUCCCAUCUGCUGGAGGCCUUGAACAGCCGCGGUAAGUGUUUGGACUUGCUGGGCGAGCCGGUAAAACUGCUCUGGCUGGACCUGAAGAGCUUGGUCCGCCGGCGUAGGUGAUGCAGGGGGUGGACUUUGAAGCGAGUUGUCGGGUGUUGGUAUCCGGCUACUCAAUGCAUUUGGAGUUUCGUGACUCCUUGAUCUCAUGAUCAUGACUCAGGCCCUUAAUCUAGAGCCAAAUGUUGUGGUUCAAAUUUGGCCCGAGGGUGACCACGCCGGGGGAGUCGAGGGAGCUGUUAGCUGGAGCGGAGAAACCACACGACGGCGUACCUGCACGAAGCCUCACCGGUGGUUCCGGUGAGGGCCCUCCGACGUUCAAGUUAGAGUGGAUCUUAAUUGGUCCAAGAGUCCCCCUUUAUGUUACCUGAUGGGGCUAUUUUUAGUUCCGGUAGGGGUGUCCAGGUGGCGGAGGUAUGGCCCGUCCUCAUUAUGGGAGGAGAUGGAUUUUAGACAGGUGGCGCGUAGCUAAUGCUUGCUUGAAGCGCACGGUGCAGGCCGUUCCUGCGAACGAUAAGACAUUGAUAGGUGUGACGGGGUAUGGCUGGAGCAGCAUGGCGUUUUCCUUGGCUAUCGUCGGCAGCAAGCAAAGCAUGGUUCGGUGACGUUGUAACGUACGGC